GAAGUUGGUCGGGCAGUCGCCCCGAUCCGAUCGGGGAGGAAAGUCCGAACUCCGCAGGGCAGGGUGUCCCGUAACACGGGAUCGCGUGAGUGAAGGAAAGCGCCACAGAAACGAUACCGUCCGCCUCUGGCGGACAAGGGUGAAAUGGUGCGUCCUGCAAUUAAGCGGGAUCAAAGUAAGAGCGCACCGUCCCGAUUGCGAAAUCGGGAGCUGGGCAAACCCCACCCGGAGCAAGAUCAAGCAGGGAAAUGGAAUAGCCCGUUCCUACAAUUUCCCGGGUAGAUCGCUUAACCUCAGCGGCAACGCUGAGCGUAGAUAAAUGACUGCCGCCCCGAUUCAUCGGGGCACAGAAUUCGGCUUAUAGACCAACUUCACUA
rnacentral:RNase_P_RNA from 1 species